AACGAACGCUGACGGCAGGCCUAACACAUGCAAGUCGAGCGAAGCCUUCGGGCUUAGCGGCGGACGGGUGAGUAACGCGUGGGAACGUGCCCUUUGCUACGGAAUAGCCCCGGGAAACUGGGAGUAAUACCGUAUGUGCCCUUCGGGGGAAAGAUUUACCGGCGAAGGAUCGGCCCGCGUUGGAUUAGGUAGUUGGUGGGGUAAUGGCCUACCAAGCCGACGAUCCAUAGCUGGUUUGAGAGGAUGAUCAGCCACACUGGGACUGAGACACGGCCCAGACUCCUACGGGAGGCAGCAGUGGGGAAUCUUAGACAAUGGGGGAAACCCUGAUCUAGCCAUGCCGCGUGAUCGAUGAAGGCCUUAGGGUUGUAAAGAUCUUUCAGUGGGGAAGAUAAUGACUGUACCCACAGAAGAAGCCCCGGCUAACUCCGUGCCAGCCGCCGCCGUAUAC
rnacentral:rRNA from 1 species